rnacentral:rRNA from 1 species
GACGAACGCUGGCGGCGUGCUUAACACAUGCAAGUCGAGCGGUAAGGCCUCUUCGGGGGUACACGAGCGGCGAACGGGUGAGUAACACGUGAGUAAUCUGCCCUUCACUCUGGGAUAAGCACUCGAAAGGGUGUCUAAUACCGGAUACGACGCACUCUCGCAUGGGCUGUGUGUGGAACCGUUUGUGGGUGGGGGAUGUGCUCGCGGCCUAUCAGCUUGUUGGUGGGGUAAUGGCCUACCACGGCUUUGACAGGUAGCCGGCCUGAGAGGGUGACCGGCCACACUGGGACUGAGACACGGCCCAGACUCCUACGGGAGGCAGCAGUGGGGAAUAUUGGACAAUGGGCGGAAGCCUGAUCCAGCAACGCCGCGUGAGGGAUGACGGCCUUCGGGUUGUAAACCUCUUUCAGUAUCGACGAAGCGCCCGUGUGGGCGGUGACGGUAGGUACAGAAGAAGCACCGGCCAACUACGUGCCAGCCGCCGCAGUAAUAC